GUUUACUCGGAGGAAUUUUUAGUGGCGGACGGGUGAGUAACGCGUGGGUAACCUACCCAUAAAUCCGGGACAACCCUUGGAAACGAGGGCUAAUACCGGAUAAUCUUAAGAAGUGGCAUCACUUUUUAAGGAAAGGUGGCCUCUGAAAAUGCUACCGAUUAUGGAUGGACCCGCGUCUGAUUAGCUAGUUGGUGGGGUAAAGGCCUACCAAGGCGACGAUCAGUAGCCGGCCUGAGAGGGUGAACGGCCACACUGGGACUGAGACACGGCCCAGACUCCUACGGGAGGCAGCAGUGGGGAAUCUUCCGCAAUGGACGAAAGUCUGACGGAGCAACGCCGCGUGUAUGAUGAAGGUCUUCGGAUUGUAAAGUACUGUCUUUGGGGAAGAAUGACUGGUUUGAAAAUAUUGAGUCAGUAUGACGGUACCCAAGGAGGAAGCCCCGGCUAACUACGUGCCAGCAGCCGCGGUAAUACGUAGGGGGCAAGCGUUGUCCGGAAUUAUUGGGCGUAAAGGGCGCGUAGGCGGAUAGUUAAGUCCGGUGUGAAAGAUCAGGGCUCAACCCUGAGAGUGCAUCGGAAACUGGUUAUCUUGAGGACAGGAGAGGAAAGUGGAAUUCCACGUGUAGCGGUGAAAUGCGUAGAUAUGUGGAGGAACACCAGUGGCGAAGGCGACUUUCUGGACUGUAACUGACGCUGAGGCGCGAAAGCGUGGGGAGCAAACCGGAUUAGAUACCCUGGUAGUCCACGCUGUAAACGAUGAGUGCUAGGUGUAGAGGGUAUCGACCCCUUCUGUGCCGCAGUUAACACAAUAAGCACUCCGCCUGGGGAGUACGGCCGCAAGGUUGAAACUCAAAGGAAUUGACGGGGGCCCGCACAAGCGGUGGAGCAUGUGGUUUAAUUC
rnacentral:rRNA from 1 species